rnacentral:rRNA from 1 species
AGUGAACGCUGGCGGCGUGCCUAAUACAUGCAAGUCGAACGGAUUGGCGCACGGGUGAGUAAUGUAUAUCUAAUCUGCCCUUCUCUAGAUGACAACAGUUGGAAACGGCUGCUAAUACUCUAUAGUUUAGGUUGAGGCUAUAUUGUAUCAGCUCGUUGGUGAGGUAAUGGCUCACCAAGGCUAUGACGCAUAACUGGUCUGUGAGGAUGAUCAGUCACACUGGAACUGAGACACGGUCCAGAAUCCUACGGGAGGCAGCAGUAGGGAAUAUUGCUCAAUGGGGGAAACCCUGAAGCAGCAACGCCGCGUGGAGGAUGACACUUUUCGGAGCGUAAACUCCUUUUGUUAGGGAAGCGGUACCUAACGAAUAAGCACCGGCUAACUCCGUGCCAGCAGCCGCGGUAAUAC